UGCAGCUCGUAAAUUUACGUGGCUUUUACAAAGUAUCAAAUAGGUUAGAUGAAUACCCAUAAUAUAUAUUUAACGUGUGAUAAAGAAUGGCCUUAAAUGUGAAGACUUAGAGACUCUGGAAGCAAUGACGAUUAAUUAUAAAAUGUGGCAUCAUUGUUCUGAUUGGACAUUCACUUGCAUGCAGGAAGAUUUCCGAAAAUCACCAGGAAUUUCGCCUUGGGUUUCAUGUAUCGUUCGGAAAUUGGCAAGUUGUUAUUCUAAACUAUGGCACACAAAAGGAGCAGGAUGUGCCCUCAUAUUGGCAGUCAUCACGUGUUGGAGAUAAAAAAGCUUGAAAAGGUGAAGACGUGUGCGGACUGCGAUUAUUCUGGUCCUAAUCUAUGGAUAUGUCUGCAAAAAAACUGUUUACGCGUAGGAUGCUCCGAGCAAGCUAAUGACCAUAGCACAGAGCAUUUUCAGCUUAAUAACUGCCACUGUCUCCAUAUGAACAUGUCAUCUCAGAGGCUUUGGUGCUACUUAUGUGAACGUGAAAUCUUCAUUGAUGUCAAACCAACAUUGAUAGAAGAUCCCUUCAUAAAAGCAAUUAGGUCGGCGGUUGCUUUGCCCAGGGAUGAGAAUGAUAACAGUGAUGGAAACGUUGAGGAGGGAGAAGAUAAUCAAGAGAUGUCAAAUAUUUCUACGGGGUUGGUUGGGUUACAAAAUAUCGCUAACACUUGUUACAUGAAUGCAGCUUUACAAGCGCUAAGUAAUGUCCAGCCUAUGACACAUUACUUCCUCAAUUGCAAUGACUUAGUGGAUCAUAUUGUCGAACAAAGCUCAAUUCGCAAUAAAGUUGGUUUGGCUAAAAGUUACCAGCGUUUAAUGAAUGACAUAUGGUGCAUGGAUGGUGUUGGUAAAGAUUACAUUGCGCCUCGGGGAAUAUUAUAUGGAAUUCGAAGUGUUCACCCAAUGUUUCGCGGCUUUCAGCAACAUGAUACACAAGAAUUCUUGCGCUGUUUUAUGGAUCAAUUGCAUGAGGAGUUGAAGGAAAAUAGCCCUACAUUGCCGAUAAUAACGAGUGCUGAGGUAGCAUUAGCUGAGAUGCAUACUUCGGAAGAGCCGCUUGACACCGACUCUGUGUCUCAGUCUAGUUCAGUGUCGGACUCUGAGUAUGAGACAUGUGAUAGCAGUCUUUCACAACAUUCGAAUCAACUCAAGGGACAGUUACACUCAGGUAGCACAGAGCGCAGUAGAAGACCGCGGAAAACACAUACAAGCGCAUCCCAGCCACAAGCAGUUGUGCAUUCAAUUAUAAGUGAUAUAUUUGAUGGGAAAUUGCUUUCCUCGGUACAAUGUCUCACAUGCGAUCGGAUUUCCACACGAGAAGAAACUUUUCAAGAUCUUUCGCUACCCAUUCCAAAUCGAGACUAUUUAAAUAUGCUUCAUCAAACCCACAGCUUAAGUGCUCAAAGUCUUAAUUCAAUAGACACUUUGGCACCCAAUAAUACAGAUGGUUGGUUUUCCUGGUUUUGGAAGCUUUUUCGUUCUUGGCUAUGGGGACCUUCCGUAACGUUAUAUGAUUGUAUGUCGAGCUUCUUCAGUGCAGACGAGCUCAAAGGUGACAAUAUGUAUAGUUGUGAGAAGUGCAAUAAACUAAGAACUGGAAUUAAAUAUUCACAAAUUUUGGAAUUACCCGAAGUGUUAUGCAUCCAUUUGAAGCGGUUCCGCCACGAUCUGUCAUAUAGCUCAAAAAUAUCCUCGCCAGUUCAUUUCCCGCUUGAAGGUUUCGAUAUGAAACCAUAUUUGCAUAAAGAUUGCAAAUCGACAGUCACAUCUUACAACUUGGUUUCUGUGAUUUGCCACCAUGGUACGGUUGGUGGUGGUCACUACACCUGCUUUGCCCGGAAUCCCGUUACAGAUCGUUGGUAUCGAUAUGAUGAUCAGCACGUCACAGAAGUACCACCAAGCGCUGUGCAGAACUGUCAAGCGUAUGUUAUCUUUUACAGAAAGCACCAUCCUCAAAUGGAAUUAAUACGAGCGAAGGCAAGUGAAAUUUCUGCACUGAAUCCUGUACAUACCGCAGAAAUACGAUUUUUCGUAGCACGUGAAUGGUUAACUAGAUUUAGUACAUUUGCGGAACCCGGACCAAUCAAUAACUGGACAAUACUGUGUUCUCACGGUGGCCUUUUGCAGUCAAAGAUGGCUCUGCUGGAUCAGAUCGCUGUACCAAUAUCCCAGCCGUUAUGGGAUUUUCUAUAUUGCACAUUUGGGGGUGGUCCUGCCAUAAAUAUGUUGUUUGAAUGUGAAAUCUGCAAAAGGCAAGCUGAAGCUUUAAAAAGACGCCAGAUCUACGAACUAUGCAUAUUCACAAAAUUCACUAGCAUGGAUGUAGAACUUGAUUGUGGCGCAAUAUAUGCUAUAUCAAUGCCGUGGCUGCGAAAAUGGCAGCAAUUUGCCCGUGGCGCUACCCAUAAGGAACCUGGUCCUAUUUCUAAUGCCAAUAUCGCCCUCAUCACAGAUGCCGCUCAGUCAUCACCUUUGCGACAAGUACGCCCAGGAUCGGAUUAUGCACAGGUGAAUGCCCCUCUAUGGAGAUUUUUCUAUGGCAUUUACGGAGGUGGGCCAGAAAUUAUGCUUCGGGGGUCGGUUACGGAAGAGAUCGAAAUAAUUGACCAGGACGAACAAUACGAUGGUGACCAGCUGGUGGACAAAUUAGAUCUUUCGGAUACAGAGAGCAAUAUUGGAAAUACUAAUUGUUUUGACUUGAACGAAUCUUUGACAGAAUCUAUGCACGAAAAUUGUAUUUCGGAUAAUAGAAGCUCAGAGAAUAAUACACCUUCGCCUACAAUACGAGUUCCUUAUGGAAAUCACAAGGAAAGCAGGCAUGCAAAACAUUUUUCGGGAAAUGGGAAAAAACUACGGCCCCCAUUACUUAGAAAUAGUCUUCGGAAAAAAACAGUCAGAGGACGAAAUGCAAUCAAAAGUGCUUUUGGGCCUACGGGUAACUACAAUUUUCGGAAAAGCUUCGACUGUAUAGAAAAUGUUCCUGAGGAGAAGGUGCACACACAUUCCACACACACAUUAGAUACCGAAUCUGACGUACAACAAAGUGCAUUUAGUGUAAAUCAAAAGCAAUCAUUCCCAAUCGAUAAAAAGUCUAGAAAAUCUAACUCGAAACAAAACUAUGCCGAAAGCGUAGCAUCAUAUUCUGAAGAAAUAGUGGCUGUUCAUGCGGGGCAUGCAAAAAAUAGAUCAAAAAGCAAAGACUUAGUCACCCUUCAGAAAUUUGUUCAAUUGCCAGAAUCCAGCGAGUCCACCGAAACUGAUAUUUAAGAUAAUCCGACUUUCGACUUUCGAAGUAGUCGUUGCAAUUUUAGUUGAUUUAUUUCUGUUGGGCUAUCUGUGCAUGUAUUUUUAUAUUCUUAUCUAUUUGAGAGGAAAUGCUGAUAGGUUAUCGGAAAUUUAGUGCCUGACUAAUUCUACUGAAAAACGACGUGAACAGUACCGAGGUCAGGACUGUUUGUCAAACUGAAAAUUGGUUACGCUGCAAACAAAAAUGAAAUGGCGCAAUAUUAAUCACCCUAUCACCCUUGAAGACGGUACAACGACGAGUUAGACACACUUAUCACGGGUGCAAAUGUAAUCAGGUACAUCAAAGCGCAAAGGAUUCGAUGGUACGGUCACGUUCUGCGAAUGAGCAACGAGAGAGCUAUAAAAAGAUCUUAAGAUCUUCGAAACAAAGUCAGGCCGAGAAAACGACGGAGAGCUGACAUUGAAGGCGACCUUGCAGCUAUGGGCAUAUCUGAUAUCAAACGAAAAGCUGAUGACCGAUUGACGUGUAGGCGAAUUGUAACGGGAGCAAUGAUGCGACAUACAUGUGUGUGCGCUUACUUAUAUAUGCACAUAUGUACAUAUGUACUUUGAAAGCACCGCAAGAUGGCGUUUAAUGUCAAUUUAAUUAUAAUUGUUAAUUUACCUAUAAGAAAAUGACAUGCAGUAACUUUUCUUAUUACAUCUAAUAAUUUGCUUUGUAGCGUCAUUUUGCCAUUUUUUAAAUAAAAACAGUUAUCAAAAAUAAAUUUUUUGCAUAUACAAAACUUCCAAACAUGUACUUUAUAUGAUAUCGCAUGAAAAAAAAUAAAUAAAAAAAAAUAGUUGGGACUAAGUUCGUAGCGUU